rnacentral:lncRNA from 1 species
GGGCGUUUUUACAACACACAAGAGUAAACAACACCCUGACGCAGCCCCCUCCUUCUCGCCCCCCCCCGCCCCCUUUUCCGGUCCUAAUUUCUUUAUCUUGCACUUUCUCUGUCUUGGCGAUCAGCACAGAAAGAGCAGUUACAACCUGUAAACUAGGGUUUUAUGCAUUGUACAUCAUUAUUUAUUCAUAAAACAACGUUAAUUACUCAAAUUCCAUUAGUUAAUCAGCUUCCGCGGCGUGUUUGGCCAAUUUGAAUAGUAAAAUAUCCAAAUGGCCAUUCCGCCACGGAUCACUGAUUAAGCAUUGGGGAAAAGGAAGGUCCAUUGUUUCCAAAUGAAGCAUGGAAAUUAAUUCCUCCGCAGUUCAGUUACUACUCGCUCCCAACACUGCAUCUCCCCCCAUAUACCCAAACCUCCAUUCUCAUAUACCAAACCCCCAUUCUCAUAUACCCAAACUCCCAUUCUCAUAUACCCAAGCCGCCCUUCUCAUAUACCCAAACCCCUGCUCAAAUACCCUACAACCCCGCCGAUUCGCAUAUGCCACACACACAAACCAAACUAUAAUCUAUUAAGCAAACAAACCGGCAAUGGACAGUAUGAAAAAAAAUGCAAGUGAAAAGCGAUAGGUGGACUAGCAUGGUCAAGCGACAAUGAACGCAGAGAAUAACCCGGAACUGAUGCCACAGGUCUGGUCCCCGGGAGAAACUUCCACCCAAUGACUCGCUCCUUAAUUAAGACGCUCAGAAGCUGCUAACGGAACAAAGUUUAGCGAGUGGCGAGAGAAAAGAUGAACAAAGAAGUAAAUUCCCAAAGCACCCCCCGGAAGGAUCAGAAAAGGGCAACAGUCCCGGCACAACUGCUAGAGUCGAACACAAAGAGCUUUAGAUAGCCCUGGGAAAGUUGACCCCCACCAGCCAAGAAAAGAAAAAAGAACCCAAGAAAUGCAAACGAAAACCAGCGAACGAGCGCAAACACAAGAUCAGUAAUUUCAUACACACUCGAAAAACAUAUAUUGCCCAAGAAUUGGGUGAUUCACGUAUGGCAAGGAAGGUAUACUGUUCUGAAUCGCCAAAACAUUGGCCCUUGUCUGUCCAAUCCAAAUGCAG